AUUGAACGCUGGCGGCAUGCCUUACACAUGCAAGUCGAACGGUAACGCGGGGCAACCUGGCGACGAGUGGCGAACGGGUGAGUAAAGUAUCGGAACGUGCCCAAUAGUGGGGGAUAGCCCGGCGAAAGCCGGAUUAAUACCGCAUGAGACCUGAGGGUGAAAGCGGGGGACUCGCAAGAGCCUCGCGCUGUUGGAGCGGCCGAUAUCAGAUUAGGUAGUUGGUGGGGUAAAGGCCUACCAAGCCGACGAUCUGUAGCUGGUCUGAGAGGACGACCAGCCACACUGGGACUGAGACACGGCCCAGACUCCUACGGGAGGCAGCAGUGGGGAAUUUUGGACAAUGGGCGCAAGCCUGAUCCAGCCAUGCCGCGUGCGGGAAGAAGGCCUUCGGGUUGUAAACCGCUUUUGUCAGGGAAGAAAUCCUUUGAGCUAAUACCUCGGGGGGAUGACGGUACCUGAAGAAUAAGCACCGGCUAACUACGUG
rnacentral:rRNA from 1 species